rnacentral:rRNA from 3 species
GACGAAGGAUGCAAGCGUUAUCCGGAUUCAUUGGGUUUAAAGGGUGCGUAGGCGGCCAGAUAAGUCAGUGGUGAAAUCCUGUUGCUUAACAACAGAACUGCCAUUGAUACUGUUUGGCUUGAGUAUAGUUGCUGUGGGCGGAAUAUGACAUGUAGUGGUGAAAUACAUAGAGAUGUCAUAGAACACCGAUUGCGAAGGCAGCUCACAAAACUAUAACUGACGCUGAGGCACGAAAGUGCGGGGAUCAAACAGG